CAGGCCACCAGGCACUUUCCUUUCCGCGGGAUGAACUAUUCGUUAAAUCUUCUACUCACAGGGGUUUUCCGAAUUGCUGUUUGUAUGGUCUCUUACCCAGGACUUCAUCCCCUGAAAAUUCUUUGCCCCCCGCCAAAAAAAAAGAAAAAAAAGAAUUGUCCCCAUCUUCACCACAUCCACAUUCUCCGACUUGAGAUCAUGGAUAACCAGUUAUCUAACGGAUAUUUUGAACACUUUACACAUCAGUCGCACUCAUGAGAACAUUUACACAUGGACAAGAUGGAGUGUGUGGUUGUAUUUAUGUAGCUCAGAUCAACCCAUAACUAAAUGUUUUCUUCUUAUUGUUCCAGAGUUAUUCCAUGGAAGUUAGAUGAAGCAGUCAGGUUCUUUGGGAAUCUGUUCCGUGCAGCAGCAGAGAGAGAACAGAGGACAGGAGAGAAGAUACUGGAGCUGUUAUCAUCAGUGUGCAGAUAUAAAGGAUUUCCUCUCAAAGGCAAAUGGUGUGAUUUCCUCAUGGACCUGUACUCUUAUGAGACUAAAACAGGCUUGAGUGUCCUUCCAUCAUUACAGUCAGUUUUCCAGUCCACUCCUGCAGUCUGGUCCAUAAACCUUUCAAAGAGAAAGACCUCCAUCCUCCUGGAAGUGCUGAAACACCAACCAGAGAAGAAACAAGUGAAGCUGACAGGCUGCUCACAUGAAGAGAGUGAAGUGAGGAGUUUCCUGCAGUGUCUGCCUUAUAUCUCACAGCUCAGACUGAGUGAGGAGAAUUACCAUCUGCGACCGACUUUCCACUUUCAUUGUCCUCAUUUAGUAAUAUUAAAUAAGAUCUAAAUGGACUGAAUAAAUAAAAAUGGCUCAGCUAUGAACCUAUUAAUCUAUAUUUCUACAUCACCGAGGAAAGACUACUGUCACCUUAAGGGUUCAAAGAGUCAAGUAUAAUAAGCAGUAAUCAAUGAAAAUUCCUUUACUACCACCUGGGACUUUGUGAAGCAUGGCUGGAUGAUGGAUGAACUCAAAAACUUGAGUUAUAAGAUUUCUACAUCAGAAAAGGUCUUUCCCAGAGCUCGUGGCCUUAAAAAUCACCUCUAAAUGCAACCUCCUGUUCACUUUUAUACAUGUUCUCUCAAAACAGUCAGAGGAUUUUACCAUCAAUGUUCAUUCGUCCUGUAGAUUUGACGUCUAUAACUCUGGGACUCAAUUAUAAAAUAAGACUGGGAGACUGCAGCACUGUGGAGACUGAGCUCAGUGCUGACACAAAUAUCCAUUAUCCAUUUGUUUUCUUUGUUGUUCUUUUUUGGGGGGGUGGGGGGUCAGUAUGAUUCUUACUAUUAUCAUUUGUUUGUCAGUUAUUCAUAAAAUAUAUGAAUAAACAAUUAUGCGUUUCAUUUUUCUCAAUUUAUUUUUCAGGACAUUACAGUGACAGUUGUGUGAUCAGUAUAUUUAACAUCUCGUGGUCACAUUGCAUAACUACAUUGUUAUACCUUUUAGUUUUUAACCCUCUGGGGUCCAGGGUAUAAUUGGCCAUUUUUGACUACUUUUGAUUUUAUGUCUAUAUUUCACUUUUAAAACAUGUUUUUCUUGCCUUGUUUGGUAUCAUUAUUUUCAGCACAACCUCAAAUAUCUGAAAUUUGAGUUAUUUUUUUCAUUUUGGUAUACUAUAUUAGCACAGUUGAUCUAAAUUCAGAUAAAAAAUUUAAAAUCCGAG
ensembl:lncRNA